rnacentral:rRNA from 1 species
CAAUAGCGUAUAUUAAAGUUGUUGCAGUUAAAAGCUCGUAGUUGGAUUUCUGGUGAAAGCGCUUGGACGGCCCAAUGGGUUUGUUCCGAUGCGUCUUUUGCCAUUCUUGGAGGGAACUUGUCUGGCAUUUAGUUGUCGGGCUUGGGAUCUUCAUCGUUUACUGUGAAAAAUUAGAGUGUUCAAAGCAGGCUUAUGCCGUUGAAUACAUUAGCAUGGAAUAAUAAGAUAGGACUUUGGUACUAUUUUGUUGGUUUGCGUACCUAAGUAAUGAUUAAUAGGGACAGUUGGGGGUAUUCGUAUUCAAUUGUCAGAGGUGAAAUUCUUGGAUUUAUGGAAGACGAACUACUGCGAAAGCAUUUACCAAGGAUGUUUUCAUUAAUCAAGAACGAAAGUUAGGGGAUCGAAGACGAUCAGAUACCAU